CGAAGGGGGCUAGCGUUGUUCGGAAUUACUGGGCGUAAAGCGCGCGCAGGCGGCCUUCAAGUCAGAGGUGAAAGCCCAGAGCUCAACUCUGGAAUGGCCUUUGAGACUAGAGGACUUGGGUACGGGAGAGGUGAGUGGAAUUCCGAGUGUAGAGGUGAAAAUUCGUAGAUAUUCGGAAGAACACCAGUGGCGAAGGCGGCUCACUGGCCCGUUACCGACGCUCAGGCGCGACAGCGUGGGGAGCAAACAGGAUUAGAUACCCUGGUAGUCCACGCCGUAAACGAUGGAUGCUAGCCGUUGGUAAGCAUGCUUAUCAGUGGCGCAGCUAACGCAUUAAGCAUCCCGCCUGGGGAGUACGGCCGCAAGGUUG
rnacentral:rRNA from 1 species